AAUCUGAAGAAUGAAGUCACCUUUGAUUCUAAAUGAGUCGGAAAGUUUCCUGCCUCGUCGGGCGCAGCUUGAGCUUGCCCCAUCGGCCGCGAUCGGUGGAGGCUGCGGCGGAUCCAGCCCGGGGCCUCAAGGCCUCUCCCCAACCUCCGGGCCAGUCUCCCUCCCCCACCUUCUCGUCCGCCGGGAGCUGCGGCUGCCGUCCCUGAGAUGCGACCCUCGCGGGGGCGACCCUGAGGGGAGGCGGCCCAUGUGCUGAGCGGCGGCCCAGAAGCCUAGGCGUCCGGGGACCAACUUCCUGCCGCCUGGGAACUCGAGCCUCCCGGUGUCGCGCCUCGCUCGGUCCGCACCGGCCUGCGGAGCCGGGUCCCCGCCCUGGUCGCGGGGACGCUCGCCAGGUGCCCAGGAGUCCCGACUUGGCCACUGCCCGCGCCCCGCCGGCCUCCACGCCUCGCGCGGAGAACCUCAGCCACCGCCGUCUCGGAUCGUGCCAGGCCGGGGACCGCGUCCCCCUUCCCGGGGCGGCCUCCGCUCAGCAGGGGCGAUGCAGACUGUCCCG
rnacentral:lncRNA from 1 species